rnacentral:rRNA from 1 species
UCAAGACUGAUGUCGUUGUUUUUUUGGUGUUGUGGGGUCCUUUAGAAAGAGCAUCAGAUCUUUCAAUGAGUUACAAAUAAAUAAGUUAGGAAAAUUAUCUGGAAAGUUAAACCAUAGAGUGUAAUAGUCACGUAUCUGAAAACUUUUUUACUCAUUAAGGCCACCCCAAGUAGCAAGGAGGAUAUUCCUUGUGAAUCUGCGAGGACCACCUCGUAAGGCUAAGUACUAACCAGUGACCGAUAGUGAACAAGUACCGUGAGGGAAAGGUGAAAAGUACCCCGAUAAGGGGAGUGAAAUAGUACCUGAAACCAAUAGCUUACAAGCAGUAGGAGGAACAUUUAUUUUCUGACUGCCUGCCUUUUGAAGAAUGAGCCAACGAGUUAUCCGUAUGUGGCAAGGUUAAGGAGUAAAUCCGUAGCCGCAGCGAAAGCGAGUUUUAAUAGAGCGUCUAGUCGCAUGCGAUAGACCCGAAGCCAAGUGAUCUAUCCAUGGGCAGGGUGAAGCGAAGGUAAGACUUCGUGAAGGCCCGAACCCACUGAUGUUGCAAAAUCAGGGGAUGACCUGUGGAUAGGGGUGAAAGGCCAAUCAAACUUGGUGAUAGCUGGUUCUCUCCGAAAUGUCUUUAGGGACAGCGUUAUAUGUUGCGCUUUGGAGGUAGAGCACUGAUUGGGCUAGGGGGCCAACAAGCUUACUGAACUCAGUCAAACUCCGAAUGCCAAAGUGUUUAAAUAUAGCAGUGAGCCUAUGGGGGAUAAGCUCCAUAGACGAGAGGGAAACAACCCAGAUCAUCAGCUAAGGCCCCUAAAUGUAUGUUAAGUGUGAAACGAUGUGAGAGUGUUCAGACAGCCAGGAGGUUGGCUUAGAAGCAGCCAUUCCUUUAAAGAGUGCGUAACAGCUCACUGGUCGAAUGUUCUCGCGCGGAAGAUGUAACGGGGCUAAACAUACUGCCGAAGCUAUGGGAUUUUACUAAUUCUGAUUUCGAUCCAGAAGGUAAAAUCGGUAGGAGAGCGUUGUAUGGGCAUUGAAGCAGCAACGUAAGUUAGUUGUGGAGACCAUACAAGUGAGAAUGUAGGCAUGAGUAGCGAAGGAAGAGUGAGAAUCUCUUCCGCCGAAUGUCCAAGGGUUCCUGGGGAAGGUUCGUCCGCCCAGGGUUAGUCGGGACCUAAGGCGAGGUCGAGAGACGUAGUCGAUGGAUAACAGAUUGAUAUUUCUGUACCACUAAUUAAGCGCCCAAACCGAAUAUAUGUUGCUAAGGAAAGCCCUUCGGGGCCUACCGACCCACAUAUUACUAGGUUAGCAAUGGAGCGACGGAGAAGGAUAGAUGAGCCCAGGUGAUGGUUAUCCUGGGGUAAAUGUGUAGGAAGACUGAUAGGUAAAUCCGUUAGUCACAUAUUCUGAGACAUGAUGCCGAGCCGCUUUUAGGCGAAGUCAUUGAUUCCAUACUUCCAAGAAAACCUUCUAGUUAGUUUUAUUAGUGCCCGUACCCCAAACCGACACAGGUGGACAAGUAGAGAAUACUAAGGCGAGCGAGAUAACUAUGGUUAAGGAACUCGGCAAAAUAGUUCCGUAACUUCGGGAGAAGGAACGCCCAAGUAAAGUGAUUAAUUAACUUUAUGAGCUUGAACGGGCCGCAGUGAUCAGACUCAAGCGACUGUUUAUCAAAAACACAGGAGGGUGCAAAGUUCUAAUACAACGUAUACCCUCUGACACCUGCCCGGUGCUGGAAGGUUAACUGGAGAGGUUAGCUUCGGCGAAGCUUUGAAAUUAAGCCCCAGUAAACGUCGGCCGUAACUAUAACGGUCCUAAGGUAGCGAAAUUCCUUGUCGGGUAAGUUC